CCUACGGGUGGCAGCAGUGAGGAAUAUUGGUCAAUGGGCGUAAGCCUGAACCAGCCAAGUAGCGUGAGGGAUGAAGGUCCUAUGGAUCGUAAACCUCUUUUAUAAGGGAAUAAAGUGUGGGACGUGUCCUGUUUUGUAUGUACCUUAUGAAUAAGGAUCGGCUAACUCCGUGCCAGCAGCCGCGGUAAUACGGAGGAUCCGAGCGUUAUCCGGAUUUAUUGGGUUUAAAGGGUGCGUAGGUGGCCUUUUAAGUCAGCGGUGAAAGUCUGUGGCUCAACCAUAGAAUUGCCGUUGAAACUGGGAGGCUUGAGUAUGUUUGAGGCAGGCGGAAUUCGUGGUGUAGCGGUGAAAUGCUUAGAUAUCACGCAGAACCCCGAUUGCUAAGGCAGCCUGCCAAGCCAUGACUGACGCUGAUGCACGAAAGCGUGGGGAUCAAACAGGAUUAGAUACCCGGGUAGUC
rnacentral:rRNA from 1 species